rnacentral:lncRNA from 1 species
GAACACCUUGCAAAGUAUGGUGUAUAUAAGCUUCUCCUGCAGCACAUCAUGUUAUUUGCUCUUCUUCUCUGGAUCUGUUUACAGAGAGCAGACUUUCUUUUAAUUGGCAAAGUGAUAAUGUGGUCUCUGUUGCUUAGAGCUGUUUGGCUGGUGAUAAAUAGGGAAAAUCUAAGAGUCCAAAUAAUGUUCAGCCUUGCAGUAUCCUAUAAUCACAGCUCCUUUUUGACUCUGUCUUGUGGAGGGUUUGAAGAAGGAUGUCAGUGGGUCAAAGAAUAUUGUUUUGGUGUCUGUCUUCACGAGAUGUGGACCAUGUAUUGACUAAGUGUUCUUAGCAGAAAUGUGCUACACAGGGUUUACAGAAGCGUGUUAUCAGAGGGUUCAGCAGCAGGAUGAGACUGUAGGCCGCUGACACUUAAUGGUUAUGUUAAUUGAUGUAAGGUUUUAGCAUCCUUUAACCAAGCUAUUUCAAAUAUUCAUAUAGUUGGAUGUCUGUUGGAAUUUGAUUAAUUUCUUGAAUGUUUGUCUGGACAACUUGUAAGACUGUCCUUACAACACUUGUAAGACUUGUGGGAAAGCUCCUUUGAAGUUAACAGGCUCUUUCCAGGUAGAGAAAUGUACUGAGAGUUGUUUGACCCGUUUCCUUCCUAUUAGCUCUCAAGUGUACAUGUUAUAGCAGUUGCACAAAGGAAUAAAGUGCCAACUGAUUGCA